CAACCCAAAAUGUUGUGAAAUAUGGCCACAUCGAUUCAGUAGAGUCCCCUGUGAAUUCCCCAAAUGCGGGAAUCUCAACUGCAUAAUUUGUGGUAGUGGGGGACUGCGUUCGCGCUCUCCCCUC
rnacentral:snRNA from 1 species